AAAGAAGCACAAAAUGCUCACUCGAUGUGUAUGACAGAUCAUCUCCAGAAAAUACAAAAUAGCUGCAGCGACUUUAACUAAAUGAACUACGGCAACUAAUGAUAUGGUCAAACGUAUGGGAAUUCCAUGUAUCAAUUUAUAUGUUAACUAUUUAGCAGCGAUAUGGUCAACGUAUGGGAAUUCCAUGUAUCAAUUUAUUGCCUAAAGUCAACAUUUCAGCAUAUAAAUUGCUUAUUUGGAGCAUCAGGUUCAAACAAGAUUUAUGAACAAAACUAAUCAGAGGCAGUGAAUUGCAUGAGCAAUAGACACGCCUAAGGCCAAAACACCCGACCAUAUACAUAUUUAACUCAGGCUCCAGUAGAGUAUUUCACUGUUGAUACAAUGCCUAGGAGCACAACUUUCAAAAUUCAAACAAAACACACAAUCAAUGAUACAAUACAAUGUAAAUGAUAAUAAUUCGCAUAUUGCAAGACAGAACACAGGCUUUGCCUCAUAAAAUUAAACCAUUCGCAGCAUGAAGGUUCUAAGAGUAAAUGGGCACACAAUCAAUGAUACAAUACAAUACAAUAGAAUACCCGCAAAAAAAUGAUACAAUACAAUGCAAAUGAUAAUUUAUAUAUUGCAAGACAGAACACAGCUUUGCCUCAUAAAAUUAAACCACAUCAUUAAAUAAACACGAACCGAAUAUACAAGACCACGUUCCAGCCUACACAUAACACACCCCACAGCGAAUGAGGUGCUUCGGUUGACAAGGAAUAUUCUAGAAACGGAAUCACUAAUCAGACAUAAGCACAAAAAAACUCUGAACUAAAUCGCAUAUUUUUUGAAUGUGUAACCAAAUCUGACUUGCUUUACCAAAUGUUUGAUGAAGAAAUGAACAAAGCAGACACAUUAGUUUCUGAAAAAGAAACUAAGUAUCUGCUUGUCAGUUAACUCACCCGACCAGCAUGAUUUCCUACUUGCAAGAUGUUUUCUAUCAAAUAACUAACUAAAACCCAUCACUGGUACAGAACUACGGAUAUACAGUUGAACUGUAACCCAAAAGAAGGCACCUUGUUGUCAGCACCAAUAAGGCAUUAUGCCUCUGUAUCUAACUUGGUAGGUCAAAAGGACAUUUGAAAGAAUCAUCAACUCAAACAAUACUCUUGUCGAUUUUAAAAGGUUUUCCAAGAAGCACAAAAUGCUUACUCAAUGUGUAUACCAACUCAUCAGCAGAAAAUACAAAACAGCUGCAGCGACGUUAACUAAAUGAACUACGGCAAAGUAAUGAAAUAAGAUACUGCGCCACUCAGCGCUUAUAUGGUCAACAUAUAUGAAUUUGACGUAUCAAUUUAUUGCCUAAACUCAGUAUUUCAGCAUAUAAAUUGCUUAUUUGGAGCAUCAGGUUCAAAUAAGAUUUGUGAACAAAACUAAUCAGAGGCAGUGAACCGCAUGAGCAGUAUACGAACCUAAGGCCAAAACACCUGACCGUAUACAUAUUUAACUCAGGCUCGAGCAGAGUAUUUCACUGUUGAUACCAUGACUAUGAGCACAACUUUCAAAAUUCAAACAAAGCACACAAUCAAUGGUACAAUGCAAAUGAUAAUUCACAUAUUGCAAGACUGAACACAGGCUCUAAAAAAGGGCAGCCCCAGUGCAUGCAGCUCCCGCUUGUGCAGGGUCUGGGAAAGGGUCCGACCACUUUGGGUCUAUUGUACGCAGCCUUUCCCUACAUUUCUGUAAGAGGCUGUUUCCAGGACUUGAACCCGUGACCUCAUGGUCACAAGGCAGCAGCUUUACCACUACGCCAAGGCUCCCCUCAUGAACACAGGCUCUGCAUCAUAAAAUUAAAUCAUUCGCAGCAUGAAGGUACUAAAGAGUAAAUGGCGCACACAAAUUACAGGGCAACAAAAAAUCAGUAGAGCAGUCUUUAUGGUGUGGUAUUUUGGAUGCAUGCCUAGUCUACACCAGUUAAGUAAUCUACUAGAGCCAAGAUAAACAAGAGCAUACAUCUCUCCUAG
rnacentral:lncRNA from 1 species